rnacentral:lncRNA from 1 species
GCCGCCGCCAUUAUACAUUGUACAAAGCAAAGAGGUUCCCGAUUAAACUGUGUUUGAAGAAGAUUCCUCGGUGUGGCGUCUUUCUUGCUGGUCAAGGGUGGACGCCACAAGUGGUGGCCUGUACGGGGAAUUCAGAACUUCUCACAGUCGGGGCGGCGCCGGAUCAGCAAGACCCGGUGUGGAUUCCAGAGAGACUAACGAGGAGGUGCAACAAACAAGAUAAAGCCUCCGAUAUUGAUCCUGCUGCUGAUCUUGACAACACCGUGGCUGAUCCAGGCCAGAGAACAAAUCCUGAUGGCCAAUAAUUUCACGGAGAACAGCAACCUGAGUUGGCAGCUGAGUGCCUACCUUCAGGGAAAUUGGAGUCAACAGUUCGAGAACCUGACAGACACCCUGACACAACAGAUUAUUGCCAUGAAUGCUACAUGCCUGAGCCUGCCCACUGUUAAUACCCUCUUAACUACCCUUAAGCGAGCCUUUAGUUUAGUUAAGGAAUGGGCUGGAGUAGGGGUUAUGUUUUCCAUGAUGCUGUUAGCCAUUUUUGUUUGCUUAUGGUGCCUAUGCAGGAUCAGGAAGUCACAAAAAUCCCAAGCUACUAUGUUGGUACAGGCCUUUGCUGCUGUGGAAGCAGGACAGUCCCCUCAAGCAUGGUUAUCCAUGCUGACAGACAAAUAGAUGUCUGUCUCGCCCUUGCUGAGUGAGUGAUGCGUAUCUGAAUCAGUCAUGCUCAAUGACGGGCACCUACCCUCAUGCUGAGCAAAUAAGCAUACAUGUGUUCCCUUCAACCUAAGACAUGAGCCUGUAAGGGCGACACAAUGACUCUUUGACGGGUAAGAUAGGGACACUGGGGUUAAACCUAAGACAGA